rnacentral:tRNA from 1 species
GGGGUUGUGGCUCAGCGGUAGAGCGUUUGCCUUGCCCAUGCAAGACCCUGGGUUUGAUCCUCAGCACCACA